CCAGCAGCCCCUCGGAAAGCCCGGGCGGCUUCUAAUAUGCCUUUCCUCCCCGAGACAGGCUUCGGAGAUUCACUUGCUUGACUUUUUCCUUAAAAUUUGUUCCUAAUCAACAACCUGCCUUAACCAUUCUGCCUCCUUAAGCCGGGCUUGGCGUGGGGCUCGGCCCCUCCUGUCCUCCACCACCCUCACGGAUUCUGCUGAUCAGAAUGGAAACCUGAUAGAGGAAGGAAGGUCCUGGAUGUUUAUAAAGUCCUCUGUGUCCAAGUCUUAUGAAGGAGGCUCCCCUGUAGCAGAGACUCAAGGGCCACAGGCCCAGCCAGCUCAACCCGGUAGCUGGACCACCUCCUAGCUGUGUAGUCUGGGAAAGUUACCUCACCUCUCUGGUCCUCAUUAGCCUCCUGAGGAACAAGGUAGUCCCCACUGCAGGAGGUUCUGUUGAGGACUGAAGACAUCCGUGUGUGUCCUGUAUGGUGCGUGACAAGAAGGGACAGAUAUGCUGGCCAUUUGAUGAUUGUUUCCUCUAACAUCAAACUGAUUUCAGAAAUAGCUAUGGGAAGAGUUUCUAGAGCGCACAUUAAUUUUCAGACUUUUCUGGGAGGAGAAAAGCUUGCCCACCCAGGAGUUGCCCAGGAGUAACAACACUGGCUGCAGGGCUAUUCUCAGCGUGACCCUGGGGCCAGUCAGACUCCCAAGUCCUGGUAGGAUUGCUCAGCAUGGCAUCCCUGCUGGGGUAGCUCAAUACUUGAUCAGCCCUCCCGUACCUCAAUCUGGCUGCCUUUUGCGGUUCCUCCCUCUAUGGCUUCCAUGGAACAUUCUUUCAUUUUUUUCCCCCAGUUGAUUUGUUGGGUUUUGUUUGGGGGACAGGGAGGGGGUAAGGCGAGGGCUGCAAUGUUCUUGCUUGGAAUGGAAAUGACAUCUUCGCUCCUGGGUGGUAGGCACAGAAAGUUCUGCAAAUCCUUUGGCCGGUCAGCAAUCACGUUGUUUGUGUCCUAGCUGGAGCAUCUGCCAGGUUCCGGGGUCCUUGGUGUUCCCUCCACUGUGAGUGCUGGCAUCAGGAGAGCAAGGGUUCUGGCCCCUGUGCAGAGCUCCUUUCUCAGAGCCGGGGACUUCCCACUGGCAAAGACAGGGCACCCCUGGCUUCCCAGAGCUCUGCAGGAGUGGGAGGUCGGAGACCUAGAUGGUGACCCAGAUGGUAGUCAGGCAGGUGAUAAACCUUGUUUGUUCAGGGUUUUGGAUUCUUUUGAUUCUGUGAGGUCCUGGUACCCCUUCCCUGGGGUUUCAUUGAGCAGUUUCUUCUCCUGGUGGCCUUGUGGUACCCCCAAGGGUGAGCUGCCCUGCCAGCAUCAGAGAGUGCAUAUCUCCAGUAUCAGAGGGGUAGGGGGCUGGAGAACAGGAAGACCCACUUGUCAGGAUAUUUUAGUGGAAAUGGAACACAGGAAAUUUGAGAGGGAACCCAUUUUAUCUUUCUGCCUCUAUGCAUUCGUAGAGAAUAAUGAAUAAUCUCUGUAUUGCUUUAAGUUCUCUGAUGUUGACUUCCCAUUAUUAUUUUUUUUAAAACAUGGUCCAAAGCUUAGCAGUUUUUUCCAUAGUGUGAAACUUGGAGCUGCCUUGGGUUCUGUUCUCUUGGGAUUCAGGUCUUUCUUCUUCCUGGAUCCAGGGUCUCAUGAUCCUAGGCUAGAAGGGCUUGGUACCAACCUUGCCAAGUAAUGAAAACAAGAUUCUCUAUGCAAACCUCCCAGCUUUUUUUUUUUUCCCCCAUAAAUCCACUAAAGCUUUUCUUUUUACACAUUUUAUUUUUCGCAUUCAAGAAUGGAUUUGAUUAUAAGGAUUGUUUUGUGUGUUUGUUUCAUUUAAGUAGGCUCCAUGCCUAGCACGGAGCCCAUCGUGGGGCUUUGAACUCAUGAUCCAGAGAUCAAGACCUGAGCUGAGAUCAGGAGGUAGACGCUGAACUGACUGAGCCACCUGGGUGCCCCUAUGAUGUUAUAUGGCUUUAACUUCCAAGAACCUCAAACCCAGUUUCUGAAAUGGGAGUCAUGUUUACAGUCCGGAGAAGUGAUCAGAUGUCUGCCAUUCCUGAGAUUUCUGAUACUGCGGAAACCUUACUUAACUGCGUUCUCGGUUUCCUCCCUGGUCCAUGGGAAGCAAGAAUUAACUGGAAUCCAGGCCCCGCAUGUAGUGUUCUCAAAAAACCAGUGUAAGAACAUGCAGCAGCUCAAGG